UACAGAGACUGCAAGCGUUAUUCGGAUUCACUGGGCGUAAAGGGUGCGCAGGCGGCCAAGUGUGUGAGGCGUGAAAGCCUGGGGCUUAACCCCAGAAUUGCACCUCAAACUACUUGGCUAGAGCAUUGGAGAGGGUAGCAGAAUUCAUGGCGUAGCAGUGAAAUGCGUAGAUAUCAUGAGGAAUACCAGAGGCGAAGGCGGCUACCUGGACAAUUGCUGACGCUCAGGCACGAAAGCGUGGGGAGCAAAAGGG
rnacentral:rRNA from 1 species